UACGUAGGGUGCAAGCGUUAAUCGGAAUUACUGGGCGUAAAGCGUGCGCAGGCGGUUUUGUAAGUCAGAUGUGAAAUCCCCGGGCUCAACCUGGGAACUGCAUUUGUGACUGCAAGGCUUGAGUGCUGCAGAGGGGGAUGGAAUUCCGCGUGUAGCAGUGAAAUGCGUAGAUAUGCGGAGGAACACCGAUGGCGAAGGCAAUCCCCUGGGCCUGCACUGACGCUCAUGCACGAAAGCGUGGGGAGCAAACAGG
rnacentral:rRNA from 1 species